AAGUUUCUUCCACUGAAACCACACCAAAGCAGUUCAAUCGGAAUAAGAGGAACUGUUGGGUAUGCAGCACCAGGUAACCUGUAAACACAAUCGUUUGUGAAAUUUAUUAUUAUUGGAAUAUGAAACUGUAAAAUUGAUGAUAACAUGCAGAGUAUGGAGUUGGAAGCGAGAUGACAAAAGAAGGAGAUAUUUACAGUUUUGGGAUUUUGUUGUUAGAGAUGAUGACAGGAAAGAGACCUACAGACCAAAAUUUCGAAGAAGGGUUGAACCUCCAUUGCUAUGUGAUGAUGGCGUUGCCUGAUCGUCUAAUGGAAAU
rnacentral:lncRNA from 1 species